AUGCACAACGCUGAACGCCUUCAGUCAUUGCGAAUGAACGAGGAUUAAAUCACGGUUGGAAACAAUGAUUUGUGCAUUGAAUUGUUGUAUACGCAUGUAUCGCCAUUUCGGGCACGGGUGUAAACUUUUUGCAACAUCGAGCAACUGAGGGUGAAAGCCCCGUAUGCGACCUGCGCACAUUAACUUACGGCGUACACUGUUCGAGUAAUGUUCCUCUGGACUGGAAUGCGAAUGGGUGCUAAAUCUCAUCAAAAUAUUGACACAUGUCCGAAACCGAUAGAAAACACGUACCAUGAGGGAGCUGUGAAAAGAACUUUGAAAAUAUAGUUAUACGAACGUGACCUCGGUGCAGCAGCAUGGACAUUGUGUGUGGGUACGGUAAGAUUGUUACGGGUACGAGCAUGCACGAUUGCUUAACAUCAGUUCGGUGUGUUUGUACUACGUGAUGCAUCUUUCUGUGCAUGCAAACGAGUGCUCGAUGCAUAAUACAACGCCUGACGCGAUGUAGUCAUGCUCCUGUAUGACGAAUGCGGCUGGUGCGAUAUUGCAUCGGACACUAUACGCAAUUUGCAGCCGUGCGCGUGAACACCACGUCGCACGAUGACUGUGUUGACGCAUACAUGCCAUGCAUGUGUGUGUUUAUGAAUUGUAUACUGUGGAUGCAACAUGUUAAUGUUCUACCCGUCUUGAAACACGGACCAAGGAGUCUAAUGUGUGUGCAAGUUCGCAAUCGCGAUCAUUCAAUGCGCAAUAAACGUAAUUACGUACAUGCUGUUAUAUGUUGCCGGCAAAUCUGUUUGAACGAGUUUGAGCAUGAGCAUGCACACUAGGACCCGAAAGAUGGUGAACUAUGCCAAUGAAGGGCGAAGUCUGAGGAAACUCAGAUGGAAGCCCAUCGCGAUACUGACGUGCAAAUCGUUCGUCAAACGAUGGUAUAGGGGCGAAAGACUAAUCGAACCAUCUAGUAGCUGGUUCCCUCCGAAGUUUCCCUCAGGAUAGCCGGGAGCAUCAGUUUUACAACAUGAAGCGAAUGAUUAGAGGAAUCGGGGGCAUAAUGCAUUCGACCAAUUCUCAAACUUUAAAUGAGUAAACUCAUGGCAUUGCGUAUAUGAAUGAUCGUGGUGAAUUGAACUCCUAUGUGGGCCACUUUUGGUAAGCAGAACUGGCGAUGAGGGAUGAACCUAACGAAUGGAUAAGGUGCUUAACUGCUCGCUCAUCAGAUACCAUAAAGGGUGUUGGUUCAUUUUAACAGCAGGACGGUGGUCAUGGAAGUUGAAACCCGCUAAGGAAUGUGUAACAACUCACCUGCCGAAUUGACUGGCCCCGAAAAUGGAUGGCACUAAAACGGGCGACCGAUACCGUUCGAUUGAUGCGACAUGAAUAUGUGAUGUGUAGGAGGGUGCAUAUGUUUGUUGUAAAACGCAUGACGAAAGUCAACGCGAAAUUGCAUGUGUUGCAGAUCUUGGUGGUAGUAGCAAAUAUUCAAAUGUGAACUUUGAAGACUGAGGCGGGAGGGGUUCCAUGUGAACAGUAAUUGGACAUGGGUUAAACGAUCUUGAGAUGAUUGGAUGCUCUGCACAGAUAAGCUUCGCUGUUACUUGCAAAAGGGGGUGGUGAUAACGUUCUCCAAUCAGGAUGUGGAUAUUCAAUGGUAACAUUACAUAAUCCUGUCAUGUGGGUCAGGGUUCCGGGAAGUGUUAUCUUUUUUUCUUAACAGCAAUGUACUGUGGAAUUUUGUUGCCGGGAGAUAUUGUUAAGCUACUGUUAUAAUGCCUUUUCGUCCGAGGUGUCAGGUGCACUAUUGGCUACCCGUUAAAAUCAGGGUGAUUGUGUUAUUCGCACUCCUGGUCGUACCCAUAACCGCAUCAGGUCUCCAAGGUUAAUAGCCUCUGGCUAAUAGAACAAUGUAGGUAAGGGAAGUCGGCAAGAGAGAUCCUUAAUUUCGGGAAAAGGAUUGGCUCUGGGGGUUGGGUGCGGGGGUCGUUGUUUGAUAUUUGAGUGUUACAGAAGCUGUUCGAUACAUCAGUGGGCAAUGGAUUCGAGUAUUACGAUCAUGUAGAGCAAGUAGUGGCUUCCGGGCUUCCCCUGCACAGUGAGCAAGUAACUCAGAACUGGAGCGGACGUUGGGAAUCCGACUGUUUAAUUAAAACAAAGCAUUGUGAUUGCCUCAGCGGAAGCUGGCGCAAUGCGAUUUCUGCCCAGUGCUCUGAAUGUUAAAGUGAUGAAAUUCAAACAAGCGCGGGUAAACGGCGGGAGUAACUAUGACUCUCUUAAGGUAGCCAAAUGCCUCGUCAUCUAAUUAGUGACGCGCAUGAAUGGAUUAACGAGAUUCCCACUGUCCCUAUUUACCGUCUAGCGAAACCACAGCCAAGGGAACGGGCUUGGGAUAGUCGGCGGGGAAAGAAGACCCUGUUGAGCUUGACUCUAAUUCGACACAGUGGAAUUACUUAGGGGGUGUAGUAUAAGUGGGAGCUUUGCGAUCUUGAAAUACCACUACUCUUAAUGUUAUUCCACUGAUUGCAUGAUGCUGAGCAUUGCUUUACACUUACAUUGUGUUUGUAAGAUCGUGUGUAUGCUGGAUUGAUCUGUGUGCGACACAUCGUCAGCUGGGGAGUUUGGCUGGGGCGGCACAUCUGUUAAAUUAUAACGCAGGUGUCCUAAGGUUGGCUCAACGAGGACAGAAAUCCCAUGUAGACCAAAUGGGGAAAUGCUUGCUUGAUUGUGAUUUUCAGUGUGAAUACGAACUGUGAAAACAUGGCCUAUCGAUCCUUUAGGUUUGAAUUGUUUUCAACUAGAGGUGUCAGAAAAGUUACCACAGGGAUAACUGGCUUGUGGCAGCCAAGCGUUC
rnacentral:rRNA from 1 species